rnacentral:rRNA from 1 species
GUGGCGAACGGGUGAGUAACACGUGAGUAACCUGCCUUUCAGUGGGGGACAACAUUUGGAAACGAAUGCUAAUACCGCAUAAGACCACGCUGGGACAUCCCAGAGAGGUCAAAGCAGCAAUGCGCUGAAAGAUGGGCUCGCGUCCGAUUAGCUAGUUGGUGAAGUAACGGCCCACCAAGGCAACGAUCGGUAGCCGGACUGAGAGGUUGAACGGCCACAUUGGGACUGAGACACGGCCCAGACUCCUACGGGAGGCAGCAGUGGGGAAUAUUGCACAAUGGAGGAAACUCUGAUGCAGCGACGCCGCGUGAGGGAAGAAGGUCUUCGGAUUGUAAACCUCUGUCUUUGGGGACGAUAAUGACGGUACCCAAGGAGGAAGCACCGGCUAACUACGUGCCAGCAGCCGCGGUAAAACGUAGGGUGCAAGCGUUGUCCGGAAUUACUGGGUGUAAAGGGAGCGCAGGCGGAUCUGCAAGUUGGAAGUGAAAACUAUGG